CUUUUCAUUGUGUUCCAGCUACAUUUUUGACUUUAAUAAUAUAUAUAAUCUCAUUCCUUAACUAUUCUAUUAUCUCUGCUAGCUCCCUUCACCUCCUUUUAUUUUUAUUUCCCCUUCCUCUCUCUCCCUCUCUUCUCCUGCCCAUAGUAUUUUCCCUUUCAGAGCUCUGAGAACCCCUUCCCUCCUGUGAACCCCUAAUUUAUGAUUUCCGUGUGUGCCUUCAGCAAAGCUGCUGAGCCCCUGCAGCUUCCACUGCAACAGAGAUGAAGGUGGUCAGCAACUUGCAGACAGACUGGGUCACAGCAAUUGCAAAUGUGAAGCCUUUCUGGAUCCUGCUAUUGAAUCAAGCCCUGGAGAUGCCAAAUAUAAUACUACUGACAAGAUGGAGAAUGAGAUUGUUCCUUAUCAAAUGCACAGGAUGGAGGGAGGUGCCAGACAGUCAUCCUUGGGAUACCUUGGCGGAAAGGAGAAGUCACAAACUGCUGCCUUCUUAUUUUAAAACAGGAGGGUUUGUUUUGUGGUGGGGUCUUGUGCUGCUUACCACCGCUCCAGUGCUGGUAUGAAGUAGCUCAAUGAAGCUUUACCAUGGUUGUGCCGGUUUUGAGACAGGGACAGUAUGUGGAAUAUCUGAGUUUAGUUAGGCUGAAAACCCUGCCUUUCACCUUCUGAAAGCCUGAGCUGGUUCCAAGAGACGCUGGCUACAAUCCAGGCCAGGGAGAGC
rnacentral:lncRNA from 1 species